ACAAAAAACCCCACGAAUCCUACCAUGUUACUUCCCUUGCUUAAAACCUUAGUAGCUUCUCAUAUUAUGUUGCCACCCUGUUGAUUUUCCUCAUAGCUCUUAACUCACAGGAAUUAACAGUACUUGCUCUGUCCCCACUGGCGUGUAAGCUCUUUGAGGGCAGAGACCUUCUGGUCAGUGCUGUAUCAUCACACCUAGAACAUGGCCCGGCACAAAACAGGUGCUCAACAAGCACUUGUUAAGUAAACAUCUCCUACAAUACUCCUAUGAUCAUGUGGUUUUACAAAACUUAAGAGUUUUAAAAUCCAUUACAACUCUUCAACUCUAAGAUGCAUUUUCCAUCCCCUACAUUUCUACCUUUUUCCAAUCAGGACAUAGCUUACAAAUGAUAUACUUAAUGUAGUAGGGUUUUUCCACUAUUUCUCCUCAAAGGGCAUUUAAUAAAAUGAAAGUAACUUUGCAAUUGAGAAAAUAUGAUAAAAAAAUACCUUUAGGUGCAAUCUUUCAAGAGCCUAGGCACGUAAAACAUCCUGUCUACUUAAUUCUCACAACCUCUGAUGAUAGGAAUUCACAUGGCUAAUAAUGGCAGUCAGAGUUCCAACACAGACCUAUCUAGUGCCAAAGCUACAUGCAAUCUUUUUACUACAUUCCACAGUUGCUCUGUCUUACCUCUGUGUAACAGACGGAAACAAAAUCGUAUAAAACCACAGAAUUCACCUACAGUAUGAGGCAAUCCAAUUAAAGGAAAAGUCAUUCUCAGAACAGCUUUUAUUUAGUUUCAGAUUUGCAAAGGGAGACGUGACAUCAAGUUUGGAAGAAAGCUGAAUUACUGGGACUAACAGAGUGAAAAGAAUAUGGACUUUCAAGGAGUGGACACUGCAGUUUCCAGCGUUCUGUGACCUGUAAUAGUGCGACAGACUGAAUGCAGAAGCACAUAAACGAAUCCAGCUCUGUGAUUAAGCCAAGACAUUAAAGAGAUCUUCAAAAUGAAAACCAAUGCCACUUCUCUAAUAGACUUUUUUGUUUUGGAAAAUUUGUUUUUCCACGAAAGUAUUAUUUCUGUUACCAUAUAAUGGGUUAUUCUUUUUAAAUAAAUUAAUAUUUUUUAAAUGUCUUAGCUUUAAUUUCAAAGGUGGUAAAUAUCAGUAUGUAUUACAUGUAUGUAUUAUCUCUAACCCACAUAAGAGCUCUCUGGGGUCCUCAAUAAUUCUUAAGAGGGUAAAGGAGUCUCGAGACCAAAACUUCAGGAACCCUAAUACAGCCAUUCCAAACCUAACAAGGAAAAUAGUUUUACUUCGAGUUUCAUGUUCAUGGUGAAGUCAAGAAGAGAACGUGGUAACCUGGUUUGAUGGAGGGAGAUGAUGAGUUCGGCGUCAGUCUUUCCCAAUACCUUGCAAAAUGUUCAUGAAUUCCUGCACCCCACCCUCUGCAUUCAUCACCUCGCCUGCGCUUCUUCCCAGCCUUCCUUAGGUCUCCCAGAGCAGUGUCCACAUCCCUUUCUUUUGCAUUUUAAGUCCUCUGGAUGACUGCCCC
rnacentral:lncRNA from 10 species